GACCAAACAAUCAGCUUAUAAUUCAUGAAUAACAUGUACAGUUAGCCCUCUUAGCAGUAAUAUUAUCAUUCAGUAAUAACCUCACGUAAUCACAAGAAAUCACCAGAUUUCAUAAAAGCUAGCCUGUUUAACAUCAAUCAACCAAUGCUCAAAAAAUAAAAUAAUAACUAUAUAAUACACAUAGAAAAGGUCUGCUAUAGGAUAUAAAUAUACUUAAAGAUGCAUAUUGUGGUAACCAUUUAGCGAUUGAAGAAAUCACAAAAUCUCCCACAAUAGAAUGGGGAAAAUUAUACAACAGGCAGCAAGAGGCUUGUUUCAGUAAAAUUAACAUUUUAAGAUAAAAGGGUAGAGCUGAAUACAAAGAGCAACUUUCUUUAUACUCAGUUUUUGAGAAUUAAGAUAAAAAUCCAAUAACCACAGGUUUCACUAUAUUUUUAAGGCUUGAACAUGACCUUUCCCUCCGAAUGAUGACGCAUUAACACAUUACAUCAUCAAUAUCAAAAGUUAUAGCUGUACAUUUUCAAUUGGAAUGAUUUGUGCAGAUUCUCAUUUGCGACUCUUAUUAUGCUAGAUGAUGUUGUAGUAAAAUGCUACUUUACUACUUAAAUAAAUGCAGUCUAUUGUUUAUUGUUUAUGUUUGAAAAGCAGCUAAAAAUGAAUGCACAAA